rnacentral:lncRNA from 1 species
GUGACUGUACUAUUUAGUGUCAUUGUUUUAUAGAUACCAUAGUGAGAAAGGAUUCAUUUCGCAACACCUACGGCUUCCACUAGAUGGCAACGAUCUUUAUAAAGUUGUUUGAAGCGUCUAUGAUAAACAGAGAGCAAAUUAGAAUCCAAGGAAGUUGACAUGUCAUCACUUCAUUUUUUGCGCCUGCGCAUAAAUCUGAGAAACGUGAGUUUUGUCUUCAUUGUUUAUCUCGACAUAGGAUAGGUUGUGUGAAAAUAUUACUGAUGUUUAACGUUAAAAAUGGACCAAAAGAUUAAUGCUAAACAACAUUUGACAUGUUUGAACGAACAUAAAUAGAUUAUUUACUAGGUUUUUUUUAGCUUUUCGGCGUGAUUUUACAGUCCCCCACCACGUUUUGUGGGAGCAUAAUGAACGCUAAGUACUUGGUGUUAUUUGGACAUAAAUUAUGAACUUUGUCAAAAGAAACCACAUUUGUUCCGGACCUGUGAUGCCUUCCGGACCUGGGAUGCCAGUCUUUUGAUGGAGAUAAUCAAAGUGAUGAUUAUAGCUAAUUUCCUGUAAAAUACCUGGGCCUACAUUGUAACGAUCAUCUGAAAGAGGGGACCAAGAUGCAGCGUGGGGACAGCGGGGAGAAAGCAGGUUUCUGCAGGGGAGACUCUGAGCAAGUCUCUGAGCAGGUGACAGGAAGAACGACACGUCGAUGGAAGUGAUGGGAUAGGGAGGACACCUGCAGCUUCCUCUCCAUUGACAGAUAUCCACCCGGGACACAUCUGGGUUCUCAGACAAAAAUAUCUCUGACAGGACAUCUGAAAAACAUCUGAUCUACAACCUGUUGGGCACUGAAACGUGCACUCAUGGCUUCAGCAAAGAGAGAACUGGGGGGACUGUCAUCUGCAGCACCUUUAUAGCCUCUGACUGCCUUCCCCAUUAGUAAACAAUUCUUUCAAGAAAUGUUUAUUUUGUCUGAAAUUGUUUUUAUUUAGUCUGUGAACUUGAGUUGUGUGGGGUCAUGGAGGGGAGAUGCUGCACGUGCACAAGAAAGUUCAAUCAGUAGCACACAUCUCAAUUUCUCAUUGUGUGUGUGUGUGUGUGUGUGUGUGUGUGGUGAGUACACUAUUUUGUAACUGCCGUGUCAAAAAUGACCCUAAGACAAUCUUUGUACCCUGGUUUUGUACAGCUUUCAUGGAAAUAUGAACAUGGGCGAUGUUUCACUUUUUCUAAUGUUGGGGUCACUCUAGGAAAAGUCAUCAAAUUUAUUUUGGAAAAAAUAUAAUUUAGGGGGUUUUCUCUGCUGUUAAACAUAGUGGCGGAUCAUUUUUGACCCUUAAGACAACACAAGGGUUAAGAUAAUUGUAUGUGUGGGUACAGAGAUGAGGUAGUCAUAAAAAAUCAUGUUAAACACUAUUAUUGUGGCCUCCAGAAGGGUGCAGCAGUCUAAGGCACUGCAUCGCAGUGCUAGCUGCGUCACUACAGAUCCCGGUUCGAUCUCAGGCUGUGUUGCAGCCGGCCUCGACCGGGAGACCCAUGAGGCGGCACACAAUUGGCCCAGCAUCACCUGGGUUAGGGGAGGGUUGGACGGCUGGGUUGUCCUUGUCCCAUCGCGCUCUAGCAACUCCUGUGGCGGGCUGGGCGCAGUGCAUGCUGACACGGUUGCCAGGUUUACGGUGUUUCCCCCGACACAUUGAUCGGCUGGCUUUUAAGUUAAGCGAGCAUUGUGUUAAGAAGCAGUGCAGCUUGGCGGGGUCGUGAUUCGCAGAACGCACGGCUCUCGACCUUCACCUCUCCCGAGUCCACAGGGAGUUACAGCGAUGGGACAAGACUGUAACUACCAAUUGGAUAUCAUGAAAUUGGGGAGAAAAAAAAUCUAAAUAAUUAUUAGAAAUGAAACACUAUGAUUGCACACAGUGUGAGUCCAUGCAACUUAUUAAGUACAUUUUUACUCCUGAAAUUAUUUAGGUUUGCCAUAACAAAGGGGUUGAAUACUUAGUGACUCAAGACAUUUCAG